rnacentral:lncRNA from 1 species
AAAAUGAUUGAAUUGUGACUUAAUCUCAUUGAAUUCAUGCAAUGUAGGUGUUUCUAUGGAAAUAGUGGAAUUCAGGAGAAGAGAGCCGAAAAAGGACUAAAAUGGAGCAAAGUGAUAGUUCAGGGACUAAGGAUGCAAAUAUUCGAAAGUUGAACUAAAAGACAACUCGGGAAUGCAAAUAUGCUAAGUAUGAACUCGAAAGCAAUACAAGAUGAUUGGAAGAAGAAGGAAUUGCAAAGGGACUAAAAUGAAUUAAACUGAAAGUUCGGGGACCAAGUUGCAAAUAAUUCAUAGAUGAGACGGGAAAUGGAAUGAAGAUUCAAGAGUGUUAGAGGUCAAUCGGAUGAGGAAAGGAGUCACGAGGUGAAAUAGGGUCGAAGUAUUAUCAAGUAUCAACUUUCAGGCGAAAAAGAUAUGCUCGUGAUUUUUAGUAUCUACUUGAGAUCCAUUUUUGACAUAGUAAACAUCAGAAUUUGAGGAAGCCU